UACAGAGACUGCAAGCGUUAUUCGGAUUCACUGGGCGUAAAGGGUGCGCAGGCGGCCAAGUGUGUUAGGCGUGAAAGCCUGGGGCUUAACCCCAGAAUUGCACCUAAAACUACAUGGCUAGAGCAUUGGAGAGGGAUGCAGAAUUCCAGGUGUAGCGGUGAAAUGCGUAGAUAUCUGGAGGAACACCGGUGGCGAAGGCGGCGUUCUGGACUGCAUCUGACACUGAAAGACGAAAGCCAGGGGAGCAAACGGG
rnacentral:rRNA from 1 species